CUACGGGUCGCUCCAGUGGGGAAUAUUGCACAAUGGAGGAAACUCUGAUGCAGCAACGCCGCGUGGAGGAUGACACUUUUCGGAGCGUAAACUCCUUUUAUAUAGGAAGAAGAUGACGGUACUAUAUGAAUAAGCGCCGGCUAACUCCGUGCCAGCAGCCGCGGUAAUACGGAGGGCGCAAGCGUUACUCGGAAUCACUGGGCGUAAAGAGCGUGUAGGCGGAUUAAAAAGUCAGAAGUGAAAUCCUAUAGCUUAACUAUAGAACUGCUUCUGAAACUCUUAAUCUAGAAUAUGGGAGAGGUAGAUGGAAUUUCUGGUGUAGGGGUAAAAUCCGUAGAGAUCAGAAGGAAUACCGAUUGCGAAGGCGAUCUACUAGAACAUUAUUGACGCUGAGACGCGAAAGCGUGGGGAGCAAACAGGAUUAGAUACCCUUGUAGUC
rnacentral:rRNA from 1 species